CGUAAGCCAGGUUGGUUUCUAUCUUUAAAAAAUUAAAAUAUUUCAGUACGAAAGGACCUAAUAUUUGAUAAAUAAUUAUUUAAUAAAUUGAAUAUUAUUAAUAUAUACUAUUUUGGCAGACUAGUGCAAUAAAUUUAGAAUUUAUUUAUGUAAUUUAUAUUACAAAUAGUACAUGUUUUAUUUAGAAAAUUUGCUAUUUAUUGUUGGAAGAUUAUUAUUAAUUAUUUUUGUUUUAGUAAGAGUAGCUUUUUGACACUUU
rnacentral:rRNA from 1 species